UUGAUGGUCAUUUGGGUUGGUUCCAAGUCUUUGCUAUUGUAAAUAGUGCUGUAGUAAACAUAGGCAUGCAUGUGUCUUUAUAGCAGAAUGACUUAUAAUCCUUUGUGUAUAUACCCAGUAAUAGGAUUGGUGGGUGAGAUAGUAUUUCUGUUUCUAGAUCCUUGAGGAAUCGCUAGACUGUCUUCAACAAUGGUUGAACUAAUUUACACUCCCACCAACAGUGUAAAAGCAUUCCUAUUUCUCCACAUCCUCUCCAGCAUGUUGUUUCCUGACUUUUUAAUGAUCACCAUUCUAACUGGCAUGAGAUAGUAUCUCAUUGUGGUUUUGAUUUGCAUUUCUGUAAUGACCAGUGAUGAUGAGCAUUUUAUCAUAUAUUUGUUGGCUGCCUAAAUGUCUUCUUUUGAGAAGUGUCUGUUCAUAUCUUUUGGCCACUUUUUGAAGGGGUUGUUUUUUCUCAUAAAUUUGUUUGAGUUCCUGGUAGAUUUUGGAUAUUGGCCUUUUGUCAGAUGAAGAGAUUGCAAACAUUUUCUCCCAUUCAGUAGGUUGCUGGUUCUCUUUGAUGAUAGUUUGUUUUGCUGUGCAGAAGCUCUUUAGUUUAAUUAGAUUCCAUUUGUCAAUUUUGGCUUUUGUUGCCAUUCAAUAGCAUACUUUUUUUUUUUUGAGAAGGAGUCUCACUCUGUCACCCAGGCUAGAGUGCGGUGGCACAAUCUUGGCUCACCACAAACUCCACCUCCCAGGUUCAAGUGAUUCUUGUGCCUCAGCCUCCCCAGUAGCUGGGAUUACAGGUGUGCACCACCACACCUGGCUAUUUUUUUUUUUUUUGUAUUUUUAGUACAGAUGGGGAUUCACCAUAUUGGCCAGGUUGGUCUUGAACUCCUGACCUCAGGAGGCGGAGGUUGCGGUGAGCCGAGAUCGCGCCAUUGCACUCCAGCCUGGGUAACAAGAGCGAAACUCCGUCUCAAAAAAAUAAAAAAAUAAAAAAUAAAUAAAUCCGCCUGUGCCUUCUGCGUGGGCACACUGUUACUGCGGUGUAUCCUGAUUUACCUGAGACACUUCUAGUUUACCUCUCUUGUCCUGGAGGAACAAUUAUUGGCACCUCUUCUUCCUCUUCAGAGUGUCCUGGUUUGGACAGUAAAUUGCACAAUCACUUUGGUUAGUGACGACCUAGAAAAGAAGUCUGUAGGCUGAAUCUGAGUUGUGUGAAAUUCCUUGGUCAGCUGAGUGUUUUAAACAAAAGUGAAUGUAAACGUAAGUAGGCAGGACGGGUGCCCUGUCUUUCUCCACACUUCUCACCAUUCCAUAAUGUCUUGUUUCCAUUACAUGCAUGUUGCAUGACAGCCUCUGUUGUUUUUUGAAUCUGCAACCUUUGGCCCACAAGAAAAAGUUGUUUCAACCUUGCCUAAUUGGCAUAUUUAAUAGCAGGGCUGGCUGGUUGGAAACAUGAAAAGUCUAUGGUGGUAUCCCAAACUGUAGGAAUGACAGGUGUAAGGUAUCACUGAGUGACCAUUUUAAAUG
rnacentral:lncRNA from 1 species